GUUCGGGUUUGGCGUGGCCUUCCAGGGCACGAACCUGAUGUGGUCGUUCUUCGGCGUGCUGGUCGGCAACCUGAUCG
rnacentral:tRNA from 1 species